AGAGUUUGAUCAUGGCUCAGGACGAACGCUGGCGGCGUGCCUAAUACAUGCAAGUCGAGCGGACUUAAAAAGCUUGCUUUUUAAGUUAGCGGCGGACGGGUGAGUAACACGUGGGCAACCUGCCUGUAAGACUGGGAUAACUUCGGGAAACCGGAGCUAAUACCGGAUAAUCCUUUUCUACUCAUGUAGAAAAGCUGAAAGACGGUUUACGCUGUCACUUACAGAUGGGCCCGCGGCGCAUUAGCUAGUUGGUGAGGUAACGGCUCACCAAGGCGACGAUGCGUAGCCGACCUGAGAGGGUGAUCGGCCACACUGGGACUGAGACACGGCCCAGACUCCUACGGGAGGCAGCAGUAGGGAAUCUUCCGCAAUGGACGAAAGUCUGACGGAGCAACGCCGCGUGAGUGAUGAAGGUUUUCGGAUCGUAAAACUCUGUUGUUAGGGAAGAACAAGUACGAGAGUAACUGCUCGUACCUUGACGGUACCUAACCAGAAAGCCACGGCUAACUACGUGCCAGCAGCCGCGGUAAUACGUAGGUGGCAAGCGUUGUCCGGAAUUAUUGGGCGUAAAGCGCUCGCAGGCGGUCCUUUAAGUCUGAUGUGAAAGCCCACGGCUCAACCGUGGAGGGUCAUUGGAAACUGGGGGACUUGAGUGCAGAAGAGAAGAGUGGAAUUCCACGUGUAGCGGUGAAAUGCGUAGAGAUGUGGAGGAACACCAGUGGCGAAGGCGACUCUUUGGUCUGUAACUGACGCUGAGGCGCGAAAGCGUGGGGAGCAAACAGGAUUAGAUACCCUGGUAGUCCACGCCGUAAACGAUGAGUGCUAAGUGUUAGAGGGUUUCCGCCCUUUAGUGCUGCAGCAAACGCAUUAAGCACUCCGCCUGGGGAGUACGGCCGCAAGGCUGAAACUCAAAGGAAUUGACGGGGGCCCGCACAGCGGUGGAGCAUGUGGUUUAAUCGAAGCACGCGAGACCUUACCAGGUCUGACAUCUCUGACAUCUAGAAGAUAGGACGUCCCCUUCGGGG
rnacentral:rRNA from 1 species